AGUUUGGUAUAGGUUGAUGUGCUAUGACUGCAAUCAAGUUAGACUUUUCUGCUCUCUAGGUGUUCUUUUUUCUUAUUUUGGAAAAUCAUUAAUGAUAUAUUCAUUUUGAAGAUCAAAACUCCGGAUCAAAUUGAGAGGAUGCGAGAAACUUGUCGAAAAAAGAUUGGCUUUCAAUUCACCGAAGCUGAGUGUCUCAAGAUUGAUGUAAAAGAGAAGAAAGUCUAUUGCCAAUCUAAUUUAGAGAAUGGGGAAAAAGAAAUUUGAGUGGACUACGACUACCUUGUAAUAUUUGUGGGAGCAAAUGUUAAUACAUUCAAUACUCCUGGUGUGAUGGAGAACUGCCAUUUCUUGAAGGAAGUAGAAGAUGCCCCAGAAGAUACGAAGAACUGUUAUUGAAUGCUUUGAAAAGGCUAGCCUGCCAACUGUAAAUGAUGAGGAGAAGGAGAGAAUUCUUCAUUUUGCCGUUGUUUGAGGUGGCCCAACUGAGGUUUAAAGCAGAACAGCAGCUACAAUGUCAAAGCUACAGAGUUUAAACUCAAGAGUCAUUACUGGAUACUUACUAGCAGGAUCUGCCAUUGGACCCAGUCACCCAGAGGCUUGAAUUUUGUCAGUGAAAUAGUCCAAGAGGCUUGUCUUUAUUCCUAUUUUGCUUGAUUGAUUCUUUCUUUGCGCUUCCCCUAUUGACUGUUUCUUCAGGAUUAUGUUUUCAGUUGUUCCAUUUGCAGAUUCAAAAUCAUGAAUACUCAUGUUAUACUAGAUUCAAAAUCACGAAUACUCAUGUUAUACUAGUUCGGUCUUUUGCCAUUCGGUAUAGGUGGAUCUAUAAUUUUCUUGUCAUUAAUUUAUGUGUGUUUACAUUUGGUAAAGUCCAGUUAUAUUAGUAUUGAGAUUCACUGCCUUUUUAGUACCUUUUAAGCUCAGUCAUGUCGGUAUUUCUUUUUGUUGAAUUUAGUAAUACCAAAAAUCACUGUCAUUAGGUUUAUGUUGCACUGUGAAACUGACUUUGUCAUUCUCUUGCAGGGCCUUGGAUUACAAGUUGUGAAAUAUUUGGCUGCCAAAUAUGAAGAGCUAGGGUGUGAAGUGAAAUGGAUGGGCAAGCCUGAUAAGGUGAUCUAGUCACAUUGGUCUGGUUACCGCUGUUAACUUCACUUCAUGUGAACCUUUAGCUUAAUACAUAUUUCUCUUGCACUUGACUACCAAGAUGAAUUUUGAGCAAGGCUACUUUUUUGCUUUGAAGCAAAGCUUGGUGUAGAAAUUUUGUAGAUUGUUGCUCAUAUGUUUCUAGGAUAUCCUUUGUAGGUUUUGGGGUUUUCUUUUGUGACAUAUGUUCAAUCAUGAAUUUGGAAAGAAAAUUAAUGGAAAGCCCCAAUUUUUGGAUGAUUAUGAAAUGCAUUUCUUUUCCCAGCAGCAGCUAGAUGCAAACUU